rnacentral:lncRNA from 1 species
CCGGUUCAACCGGGAACCGUUCACUGAUCCGGUCCGGUUGGACUCCAAAACUCGGAAAAUGCAAAAACCCGGUUUGAAAGGCAACAAACCGGAAAACCGGUGGUUCAACCGUAAAACCGGAAACCGGGAUCAAAACCGGGUUUUCAUCUAUGUUUCUUUAAAAACGCAUUCAGAUCUAAUGCAUCACCAAGUAAAAACGAAUGGAUGGUAGUGUACUGCACCAGCACAAACAUUGAAGAUAAAG